rnacentral:rRNA from 1 species
GACGAACGCUGGCGGCGUGCCUAAUACAUGCAAGUCGAACGCAGUGGGGACGGGUGAGUAACACGUGGCUAACCUCCCAUCAGAGGGGAUAACACUUGGCAACAGGUGCUAAACCGAUACUGAUGGAUGGACCCGCGGUGCAUUAGCUAGUUGGUGAGGUCACGGCUCAACAAGGCCACGAUGCAUAGCCUGCCUGAGAGGGGGAUCGGCCAAACUGGGACGGAGACACGGCCAAGACGCCUACGGGAGGAAGCAGGAGGGAAGCUUCGGCAAUGGACGAAAGUCUGACCGACCAACGCCGCGUGAGUGAAGAAGGUUUUCGGAUCGUAAAACUCUGUGGUUAGAGAAGCGGUAUCUAACCAGAAAGCCACGGCUAACUACGUGCCAGCAGCCGCGGUAAUUC